UAUUGGGCGUAAAGCGCGCGUAGGCGGUUUUUUAAGUCUGAUGUGAAAGCCCACGGCUCAACCGUGGAGGGUCAUUGGAAACUGGAAAACUUGAGUGCAGAAGAGGAAAGUGGAAUUCCAUGUGUAGCGGUGAAAUGCGCAGAGAUAUGGAGGAACACCAGUGGCGAAGGCGACUUUCUGGUCUGUAACUGACGCUGAUGUGCGAAAGCGUGGGGAUCAAACAGGAUUAGAUACCCUGGU
rnacentral:rRNA from 1 species